GACGAACGCUGGCGGCGUGCCUAACACAUGCAAGUCGAACGAAACUUCUCUACCACCGAGUGCUUCCACUCACCGAUAAAGGGUUGAGUGGCGAACGGGAGAGGCACACGUGUGCAACCUGCCCUAAAGAGAGGGAGAACACUAGGAGACAGGUGCUAAUACCGCAUAACCAUAGUUAGCGCAUGUUAACUAUGUAAAAUGUGGCUAUGCUACAGCUUUUUGAUGGGCCCGCGGGGCAUUAGCUAGGUGGUGGGGUAAAGGCUUACCUAGACAGUGAUUCGUAGCCGAAGUGAGUGAUGGGUCGGCCACAUUGGGACUGAAACACGGCCCUAACGCCUACGGGAGGCAGCAGUAGGGAAUCGGCGGCAAUGGGCGAAAGCCUGAUGGAGCAAGGCCACGUGGGUGAAGAAGGUCUUCGGAUCGUAAUACCCUGUUGUUGGAGAAGAAAGUGCGUGGGAGUAACUGUUCACGUUUCGACGGUAUCUAGUCAGGAAGCCCCGGCUAACUACGUG
rnacentral:rRNA from 1 species